rnacentral:rRNA from 1 species
UACGUAGGGGGCGAACGUUGUCCGGAAUUACUGGGCGUAAAGCGCAUGUAGGCGGGCGACUAAGUCAGGGGUGAAAACCGUGGGCUCAACCUACGGCUUGCCCUUGAUACUGGUCGUCUUGAGUACAGGAGAGGGAAGCGGAAUUCCCGGUGUAGCGGUGAAAUGCGUAGAGAUCAGGAGGAACACCGAUGGCGAAGGCAGCCCCCUGGGCCUGUACUGACGCUCAUGCACGAAAGCGUGGGGAGCAAACAGG